AGCGAACGCUGGCGGCAGGCCUAACACAUGCAAGUCGAACGAACUCUUCGGAGUUAGUGGCGGACGGGUGAGUAACACGUGGGAACGUGCCUUUAGGUUCGGAAUAACUCAGGGAAACUUGUGCUAAUACCGAAUGUGCCCUUCGGGGGAAAGAUUUAUCGCCUUUAGAGCGGCCCGCGUCUGAUUAGCUAGUUGGUGAGGUAAUGGCUCACAAAGGCUACGAUAAGUAGCUGGUCUGAGAGGAUGACCAGCCACAUUGGGACUGAGACACGGCCCAAACUCCUACGGGAGGCAGCAGUGGGGAAUCUUGCGCAAUGGGCGAAAGCCUGACGCAGCCAUGCCGCGUGGAUGAUGAAGGUCUUAGGAUUGUAAAAUCCUUUCACCGGUGAAGAUAAUGACUGUAGCCGGCGAAGAAGCCCCGGCUAACUGCGUGCCAGCCGCCGCAGUAAAAC
rnacentral:rRNA from 1 species